UGAGUUGCCUCCUCUCCACUUCCAAGAAUCUCAUUCAAUUGCCUCAACCCUUUAUGGAUGAAUAAUGCAGCGCCUUCAUCAGAAUAUCCCCCAUUCCUCUUGAUGCCAUGACGUGGUGAUGAUUGGUGGAGAGUGUUCUUCUGUGAAUCAUUAGAGUCGAACAAUGUAUGAGGUGUCGAAGACAUUUCCCCAGGAGGAGGUUCAUCAGGUAGCACGAAAGGAACUUGGUGGGGAAACAUUUCUGCCAUUGUUCGAUGAGCCUGGCG
rnacentral:misc_RNA from 1 species